rnacentral:rRNA from 1 species
GGAUUCCCCUAGUAACUGCGAGUGAAGCGGGAAAAGCUCAAAUUUAAAAUCUGGUAGUCUUUGGCUGCCCGAGUUGUAAUCUAGAGAAGCGUUAUCCGCGCUGGACCGUGUACAAGUCUCCUGGAAUGGAGCGUCAUAGAGGGUGAGAAUCCCGUCUUUGACACGGACUACCAGGGCUUUGUGAUGCGCUCUCAAAGAGUCGAGUUGUUUGGGAAUGCAGCUCUAAAUGGGUGGUAAAUUCCAUCUAAAGCUAAAUAUUGGCGAGAGACCGAUAGCGAACAAGUACCGUGAGGGAAAGAUGAAAAGAACUUUGGAAAGAGAGUUAAACAGUACGUGAAAUUGUUGAAAGGGAAACGCUUGAAGUCAGUCGCGUUCGUCAGGGAUCAACCUUGCUUUUGCUUGGUGUACUUCCUGGCUAACGGGUCAGCAUCAAUUUUGACCAGUGGAAAAAGGUCGAGGGAAUGUGGCAUCUUCGGAUGUGUUAUAGCUCUUGGUCAUAUACACUGGUUGGGAUUGAGGAACUCAGCACGCCGCAAGGCCGGGUUUUAACCACGUUCGUGCUUAGGAUGCUGGCAUAAUGGCUUUAAUCGACCCGUCUUGAAACACGGACCAAGGAGUCUAACAUGCCUGCGAGUGUUUGGGUGGAAAACCCAAGCGCGUAAUGAAAGUGAAAGUUGGGAUCUCUGUCGUGGAGAGCACCGACGCCCGGACCAGACCUUCUGUGACGGAUCCGCGGUAGAGCAUGUAUGUUGGGACCCGAAAGAUGGUGAACUAUGCCUGAAUAGGGUGAAGCCAGAGGAAACUCUGGUGGAGGCUCGUAGCGAUUCUGACGUGCAAAUCGAUCGUCGAA